GCCGAAGUGGCGGAACUAGGUAGACGCGCUGGAUUCAAAAUCCAGUGGUGGCAACACCAUGUGGGUUCGAUUCCCACCUUCGGCACCA
rnacentral:tRNA from 1 species